UACGGGGGGGGCAAGCGUUGUUCGGAAUUACUGGGCGUAAAGGGCUCGUAGGCGGCCAACUAAGUCAGACGUGAAAUCCCCAGGCUCAACCUGGGAACUGCGUCUGAUACUGGAUGGCUUGAAUCCGGGAGAGGGAUGCAGAAUUCCAGGUGUAGCGGUGAAAUGCGUAGAGAUCCGGAAGAACACCGGUGGCGAAGGCGGUCUGCUGGGGUGAUGCUGACACUGAUGCGCGACAGCGUGGGGAGCAAACAGG
rnacentral:rRNA from 1 species